AAUAAAUGGCUUUUGGAGUGCCUCUUGAUAUUUUCUCCCUUCCUCAAACCUCCAUCACACAUCUCUCUCUCUCUCUCUCUCUCUCCCUCUCUCUCUCUCUCUCUCUGACGUACGUCACACACUGUUCUUCAAUUUUCAAUCUUCAAUCUUCCAAAGCACACGCACACAGAUCUCACAUUUAACCUUCAAUGCUUCGUUUUCUUGUUUCCUUCUAUCAAUUCAUGGAUUCCAAUUCUCUCAUCAAAAUUUCGUUUUUCAAACCGCAUUCACGCUAAAUGGUGCUCGCUUAGCUGCUUCGUGGAUUCCGCUUUCAUGGAACGAGUUUUUGGUGUUUCUCUUGCGCCUUACAUCGGUAAAGAGCUUUUCUUCUUCUGAAUCCGUUUGAUUUCUUAGAAACCACGCGAGAAGUACAGGUUAGAGAUGUUAUUUCAUCUCUGAAGCAAUGGUAACUUUCAGUGGACACUUGCGUUUGGAUCUCAGUUCCUGAAGGAGCCUUAUAGUGUUGCUGUGGCUGGCUUAGCUGGAGAUUCACGGGCACAUGCAAAUCCUCUCCUAUGCCUAGACCAUUUGGGAGAUGGGCACCGUGCCAGUAUAUUUUAAUUUUUGGAAAAGUGACAGAUGAGGAGGAGGAGAGACAAAGUAGACAAUGGGAUCAGAACAAAGUAAUGAGGUAGCAGUUGAAAGAUAAAAAGUUCCAAUGAAAUGAUUACACAAAACUUCUGUUGUCUUCUCAAGGCUGUUAGUUGAGAGGUAAACAUGCGAAAUUUUUUCCUAUCUGGUGUCUUUUCUUUUUUUCAAGUAGCAAAGAUUUACAAGAUAGCAUGAUUUAGUGGUCACGGCCAGAAUUUAAUUCUGACCGUUAUUCCAAACCGGUGAGUAGAGGGGAAGGAUGAGAAAAAUGAAGAAGGGUAUCCUCCAAUCCAAAAAGAGCAGGUCACAGAGGCCAACAUGGUUGAGGCCGUGGAUGCUGGAGACAGUGGUGGGAGCGUCAUCAACGAUGCAGAACAGUGGCGAGGAUGGGUUUGCGGAGGUUAGGCACAUGCAUGAGAGCAGUAAACCAUGCCAUUCUUGUAAAUCUUUACUACAGUGUCCUAUCUGGGAACAAAACGAAGGAACUAUGCUAGAAUGGGAAAAAUUUCUAAACAUGCCUAAAAGACUCAUGCUAGAGCCUUGUUGGUAUUCGUUGAAUAUAGAAUGUGGGUCAUUGAGAUAAUUUUUCUAAAUCAUUGAAGUUACUAAACCUUAACAACACUAUCUUACUCUUUAACAUCAUUGUUAUUAUUUGAAUGUGGAAUGCCAUGUAUUACUCUUAUGUUGCUAAACAUUUACGUUCAUCUUUAUGAAGGUAUGUACAUGUCUAUGUUAUAUUUGAAUCAAUUAGGUUUCGCUCCAUUCCAACCA